CCCAUACACACACAUUGCCCACACUCACACAUACACUGCAAUACUCACACACAUACACUGCCGCCCUCACUCACGCACUACACCCCUUACACAUUACACCACUGCUCCUAUGCCCUACUACAGCCCCAUUUCCCAGCAGACCUCAGGUAAGUUGUCAAAUUGUUCUUAAACGGUUUGACUACUUACUCUGGGAGGGGGUCCCAGCACUAUUGACACCAUAACCACUACACCGAGCUGUAGUGGUUAUUGUGUCUGGAUUAUUUAUUUAAAUAAUCUACAAGUGCCCCUCCCGAGAUCAGGCUCUGGAUCCGCCACUGCCAAAUGGUGUAGAUGAAUCCCCACAUUUGUUUGCUGAGAUGGGCAAUUUUAAGUAGCCUGGUAAAAUUUUAAAAUGUAUUUUAUUUGUGCGCCGUUCCAUAAUCUGUAUUACAAACAAAAACUUAUCUCUGAAAUGUAAUUAAAACCAUCAGAAGCAACCCAAACCCACACAUGUAAGAGGGAAACUCUAAAAUGUCUUUGAAACCAAGACCACCAAGAUUGGGCUGCUUUAUUACUCUGCUGAUGAAGGUGGAAUUAACAUGCUGCUGGAGAUGUAGCUGUCUGCCAUGUAGUCCUUAAACCUGAUAAGAUAGUCUUUUUUUUAAUUUGGCAAUCAAGAAUAUGUUGGAAGGAAACCAGGAUAGUUUUACAUGGCAAACGUGUGUUAUUCACGGAACCCAGGACUCUUCACAACUGCUAAAAUGUGCACCAGUUCAUUAUUAUUAGCAUGUAUACAGUGCCAACUUACUCUGUAGCGCUUUACUAUGUUAUAAUAGAAAUGGAGGAAUUUCACAACAGCAAGCCAUCUCUGGACCAAUUUGCCUCCAAAAUGCUACCUCUGCAUUUGGGCUUUGGCUGCAAUCAUUAUAUAUGCUGUCUAUGGUACAAGCUGUAAGAAAAGGUUUGGGGUCAGACAGGACAGCAAUUAUCCAUUGAGGAGGCAUGAGGUAAGAAAUCAAUCACACAAGGAGAAAAGUGUCAAGAAAAACAUUUGAAGAUUGAAAAUUAAGUUAAAUGUAAGCAAACAGGUAUUCUUGAGAUGAUCCUCCAAAAAUGUAAUCAGCAGGGAGUUCUGGGUGAAUCUUUCUGAAUAUUGUUUAGGGCACAGGCUCUGCAUAGAGCUUUGGCUGCAAGGCUUGUCUGCAACAAGUUGUGGGCGAAUCUUUAUGAAUGCUGUUGGAGGUGUGGACUGCUUCAAUGAGCAGUAGGCAGUACAAAUGCAAUUAAAUUUGUGAGCAUGUGUGCAAGAAUGUGUAAAUGUAUGUGGGGCGUGUCUGUCAGUGAUAGUUUCAAAUAAGUGAGAGUGUGUAUCUGUCAGAGUGUGUCAGUCAGUGAAUGUUUCUGUCAAUAUUUCAAAUCAGUGAGUGCGUGCAUUAGUGUCUGUCAGUGAGAGAGCGUGUGUGUGUGUGUGUCUGUGAGUUUGUUUCAAAUCAGUUAGAUUGUUUAUCUGUCAGUGAGUGUCUGUGAUUGUAUGUGCAUAUCUAUCAGUGAGUGUGUCUGGCACUGCAUGUUUGUUAGGGAGUUUUUCAAAUCAGUGAGAGUCUGUUCAAGUCAUUAAGAGUGUGUCACUGUGUCUGUCAAUGAAAGUGUGUGUUUGUGUGUGUGUCUGUCAGUGGGGAUGCAAAAUACUGUUCUACCCCAGGCCCUACAUACAAAGUGGACAUGCACUGCACAUAGGAAAUGACAUACACCCCGGGUCCUACUGCGCAUAGGAAAUUAAAGUUUAAUUUAAAAAAAUGACUAGAGCACUGCUGAUAUCUACUGAUGUCAUUUAGAUAGCACCUUUUUCUUUGUGGGUUUGUCUGUAUUACAUUGUGUGCAUGUCCACUUUGUUUUACACAAUGUUUUAGAUGCAGUUUUUUUUUCUCUUUUUUGUUUUCUAUAUACCCUCACCUGUGAGUUUGGUUAAGAGUUGCUGUUUUUAAAAUAAUUGCAUCACUGCUGGUGUCAAAAUGUGUCAAUCAGAGAUAUCCAAUUAUUUACCAAAUUGUGAGUUGAUGUAGAAACUGAAAGUGAAGGAAUGCCUAAGAAUAAGUCUGCUUUGUAAUACCACAUUGGAUGUUUUCGUGCAGUCUUAUAUACCUAUAAUGUGCAUCAAACUUGGCUUUAGGUGCCUACAUUGAGGUUAAA